UAAUGGCUGAAACCAACAAGAGCACAUUCCACAUUCACACAUGUAUGUCAAAAUCCUGACAAACUUCCAGGCAGGCCCAUCGCCAAGUGCAACAGUGUCCUCCAGUUCAUGUAUAAACCUUCCGUACUACCUACCCCAACCAACCCAGAAGUAACAAGUACCUCCUCUCCAUAAAGGACUGUCCUGCUCUGCACUGUCCCAUGCAUCUUACCUACAGCCAAUGUUUCAAUGACUUGUCAAAUACUGAAUUACAGUGAGCUGCCUAUAAAUAUCUGUGGGAUGAUGUAGAAAAUAAGGAAGGCUGCAUGACAUCCCCAACUAACCAUAGGGACUAAGACACUGCAAUGGAACACCUGUUAUUUGUAAUUAACCAAAAAGAUGGAUCUCCCCCAUGAUGCAGAGACAGAAAGCUCUUAGGAGCUUAGAGGAAAAGGGUGAUGGCUGCAGUUAUUUUCCAAGCAAGUCCUGUCACACGUCCAGGAAUCCUGGUUCACUGAAUUUUGAAUUUCUAUGGAAAGGAAAUUUGGAGAUCAUUAGGUCUAAUUUCCAAGUUUUGGAGAUGAAGAAAUUGCAGAGGCUUCCUCAAGAAUCUGUCACAUUAAUAUUUCAAGUUUGGUUGACAGAAGAUGGAAAAAAAGAGCAAGGAAAAUGCCAUUUGGAGGUUCAUUCACCUACUAAUAGGAAUUUUGUGCUUUGAAUAUUUACUCUCUCCUGGUUUUACACUCUCUGGCUAUAAAAGUUGAGACAAAAAAGUGUUUAGUUUUGAAGUUGUCAGAAACUACUGUUACAGCAGAUUCACCCCUGAUUAACAUUAUCUCUGUUGAACUCAGUGUGAAAGGAAAUAGAAAGCUUAAAAGUAUCUGCUUGGAUUCCUCUUCAAGCAAGAAAGUUUUCAUGACUUGAUUUACCAUUAAAGUUCUGCAACCUGCCAGGAAAUCAUCAAGAUCAGAUUGGCAGGAACUGCUGUUUCACUUGCCUAGGCAGUGACUGAUGUGAGAUGAAACACACACACACACACGCACACACGCACACACAUGCACACACGCACAUGCACAUGCAGAGUAAAAUGAAUGGUCAAGUAGUGGAUUCUACUGUCUCUUUCUACCUUGUUUUUUUUUUUUUUUUUGGUACCAGGGAUUGAACUCGGGUCCUUGUGCUUGCGCAGCAGGCGACAAAACCACUGAGCUAAAACCCCAGCGCUAUACCUUGUUAUGUUCUCUUUUGCUUUGAAAUUUUUUCACAGUUCUAGUGGGCUGCGCUUCACGAAGUCUAAUGUAGAACUUUGUUCUAAACAUUUAUUCAAAUCAUAACCUCAGACUUUCCUCAGGUGUUUUCUACACCUGGAGAAGUAUUCACAUGUAAAAAAUACCUCAAAACAUUGGUACUGGAUCUAAAAUCCAUUCAUCCGUUUAUUCAUUCCACAAUCACCCACCAACUACAGGUCAGACUCACUGACGGGCACUUGGGAUAUUAAAAUGACUAUAACACCAUUCCUGGCCUAGAGAACACAUAGUCUGUCGUGAAAACUCAGUGAAAGUUGGAUAAAAUUUGGAGUCUAGUCAAUAACACUGUGCCAACAUCAAUUUCCUGUUCUGAUAAUCAUGUUAUGAUUAUAUGAGAGGUUAAAAUUAAGGGAAGCUGAAUAAAGGGUCUAUGAGAAUUCUGUGUCACUUUUGCAUCUUUUCUGUAAGUUUAAAAUCAUUUCAAAGUGAAAAGCUAAAAAAGAAAUGCAGACUAAACUUUGUAGCAAUGAAUUAUACACCCUAAACUUUAUAUCAAUGCAGCCUCAGAAUUAUUUUCAAGUCGAAAUCCAAUUUGCUUUGAUAAAUACCAACAGAUUUAUUAAGAUGAGAAAUAACUGGGGAAUAAAGGAAAAAUGAGUUUUAAUAAAAAGUAUAUUAUGGUCUGCAUGUGACUCUCAGCACUUCUAAUUAUUAUUCAUGCUACUUUGAGCAAAUAAUUAUCUUCCUUAAAGCUUAGUUUCCUCAUCCAUAAAUUUGUGGUAAUAAUACUUAUGAAAACUCCUUUAAAAUGCUCCUUGUGGCUCUGGGGUUGGGGCUUGGGUGAGGUAAAGUAUUUUGACGUUAAAUGUACAACACAUAUGAUGC
rnacentral:lncRNA from 1 species